AAUAGGACAAUGCCAGUGGCAACGUUCAGCUGGUAAUUGGUAAAUAAUCGAGGCCAGGUGUCUCUAGUACGAGGUACCAGUACCAGGUACUUGACUAUAUUAAUCACCGGCAUUCAUUCUACAUGUUUUAUUAUUGUUAUAUUGAGAGUAGCUCUCGAGUGCUAUAGCUCUUCGUUGCCACCACGCAUUUUUUUAAUAAUAUAUUUUCAUUAACGUUUUCUUAAAUAUGUCUUAUUUUUAGAC